rnacentral:rRNA from 1 species
AUGCCGGUAUGAGUAGCGAAAGAUGGGUGAGAAUCCCAUCCACCGAAUGCCUAAGGUUUCCUGAGGAAGGCUCGUCCGCUCAGGGUUAGUCGGGACCUAAGCCGAGGCUGAAAAGCGUAGGCGAUGGACAACAGGUUGAUAUUCCUGUACCACCUCUUUACCGUUUGAGCGAUGGAGGGACGCAGGAGGAUAGGGUAAGCGCACUGUUGGAUAUGUGCGUCCAAGCAGUUAGACUGGUAAGUAGGCAAAUCCGCUUACCGUAAGGUUGAGCUGUGAUGGCGAGGGAAAUAUAGUACCGAAGUUCCUGAUUCCACACUGCCAAGAAAAGCUUCUAGCGAGGUAAAUGGUGCCCGUACCGCAAACCGACACAGGUAGGCGAGGAGAGAAUCCUAAGGUGAUCGAGAGAACUCUCGUUAAGGAACUCGGCAAAAUGACCCCGUAACUUCGGGAGAAGGGGUGCUUUUUAGGGUGAAUAGCCCUGAAGAGCCGCAGUGAAUAGGCCCAGGCGACUGUUUAGCAAAAACACAGGUCUCUGCGAAGCCGCAAGGCGAAGUAUAGGGGCUGACACCUGCCCGGUGCUGGAAGGUUAAGAGGAGGGGUUAGCGCAAGCGAAGCUCUGAAUCGAAGCCCCAGUAAACGGCGGCCGUAACUAUAACGGUCCUAAGGUAGCGAAAUUCCUUGUCAGGUAAGUUCUGACCCGCACGAAAGGUGUAACGAUCUGGGCACUGUCUCAACGAGAGACUCGGUGAAAUUAUAGUACCUGUGAAGAUGCAGGUUACCCGCGACA